GACAGCUCCUGGCUUUUUAAAUCUCUCCCAGACAUCUCUGCAGUGUGAUGAGGAUCUCGCCUCUCAUUAAAGAUCCUUCACACCCAGAGCUCGGGAGCCACAAGCUAAAGAGGAACAGGAGGUUUCCAAGGGGAAUUUAAUAAAGAAAAGCAAGGAGGAAGGAUGGAUAGAGUCCUUCCAGCAGUAGGGACGCCCAUGAAGCUGUCUUCCAUUAAGAUUUAAAUAGUUUCCCCCUUAGAGGGAUGGAAAUUCAUCAGAGAUGGCACACUGGAGAAGGCCUGGGAGGAGGGUGAGCUGGCCUGAGCUGGGCUGUGUUCAAAAGCCCCUGUCUCAUCCCUACAGAAACGUGGAUGAUCACGAGGGGUCUGGCAGAGCCAGCACAGGAAGAGCUGCCCAAGCCCAGCUGUGGGGAACAGGCUGCAAGCACCUUGCAGCACUCCCAGCCUCAUGACCCUAGCCCUUCUGCUCUCACACAUCUGUACACUUGCCAUGUCUCGAAACCUGCAUCUUAUUUUUGGGAACUUUCAGGCCAGGACUUGCUCAAGUGAGUCCUGUGAAGAAUUGCCAUCAAUUCCUCUGCCUCAGGAGAGGCUCUGCCAGCUGGGACAUGACACUGGCCUUUGCCUGUGGCAGCAAAGCAGGUAUCUGCCCACGCCUCCCAGCAAGCAGCAUCCUCUGUAACUUCUCGAGCAUCCUGGCUAGCCCAUCACACCCCUGCUCUUUGGAAGGCAAGCUGGGCUAACUGGUUAAAUACUGUGCCUGUGUGCUGAGCAGCCAAGAGCCUCACUUGAUUUGGAUGGAAAUUAGUAGGCAGCAGCUGAAGCUGGGGGAAGGAAGCCUUGGAGACCAGUGGAGAUUAUCAGAAAACAAAUGAACAGAACAGUGUGUCAUCCCUCAGCAAGGCACAACCACCAAAAUCAAAGGAGCAAGCAGGACUUGGUGACAAAAUAUAACACAGGAGCGAUGGAAAGUGUGUGUCCCCAUCAGCCGCAGCCUGAGAGGGGCAAAGCCACUGCCAGCAGAGCUGUGUGGGUUCACAGCCCUGCAGAGCCCUCAACUUCCUCAGUCUCCCUCAGCAGCACACAUGAGGUCUGCAGAUGCUCCACAAAUCUCUGCAGAUUUCACAUCCUUGUAGCUCCCAGACCAAAACACAAACAUGCUGGAAACAUCUGAGCAAAAGGUUUAUCAACUCCAAACAGCAGAUUGACAGGAGAUUCCCAGGGACUGAGGCCUCACAGCCAGCAGCCUCUUCCAGCUCACACCUUCCUGCUGAGCAGUAGAUAAAGCUGGCAGCAGCCCCUCUGGCUGGGGAAGAGGGCAGAGACACUAAGCGAGAAAACAUGGCAUGAGUUCAGAGACAAGACAUCCCUCGCAUAAGCAUCUCAGAGAAACUGAUGUUGCAGCUCCAUCACUCCUGCAGCACUACAGGCCAUACAGGACUGAGGGUGUCAGAGCCUGGAAGCUGAUUUCACGGAGAAGACAGCCAAGCCCAAUGGUAGCCCUCUGCCAGGACUGCUGCAGCUGCUUUGGGAAGGCACAUCCCUGCCUGGCCCAGGAAUGGAAUGUGACAGGGGGUAAAGCCACCCCAGGUGCAGGAGGUUUCUCUUGCACUCAGCCCAUAGAGACUACUCUGUGAUGCCUUUAGGAGCUGUGCCUUUUAACAUCCCCUUUAUCCAGAACUCUCUGACUCCUUAUUUGCCUGUGCUGAAGUACAAGCACUGCUUCACUGAUUCCCAUGAACCCUUUUAAUUCAUCAAAGGAGCUGACAAGCCCAGGAGGGAGCCUUUCAGUGCCUGAUCACUCCUGUUUGCUGGGCUGUAGGAGAGCAAUCCUGCCAGCAACAAGAGGGAAGGGUGGCAAUUUGGAACUGAGUCACCUGGACAAGGUGCAAGCUUCAAAAUGCUGAAGCACAUGUUUGCCUAAGGAGACUGUAGUUCAGUCCUUCCUCUGACCCUUUUUAAUGCGGUACCAGACCCUCUAGAGAGCUUUGCCUCAAGGCCACGCUCAGCCCUCCAGCCCUGGAGCACAUCCUGCAAAGGAGGCUGUCACUCCCUUCUUCCUCAGCAUCUCCCUAAACCUGGGGACCUCUAAGCAGCACCAUGCAAGGCACUGAGGAUCUCCGUCCCUGCAGCUGGGGAGGGGACAGACAUCCCCAUGGGACAGAACAUCCUCCUUCUCAUUUACCCUCAACCUCAAGCUUGUUUGUGCUGAGCUUUGAUUUAUCCAGAUCUGAGCAGUAUAGAUAACACGAGGCUUUCGAUCAGCCCCUGACCCUGGCCACAUGAGUAAUUCCACAGGCUGCUGUUAUCUAAAUGUAUAGUAAAAUAAUGAUCUGUAAAUCAAUAAACUCCUAACCACCGUACGCUGCAAACGCAACGUGAAUUCAUUGCAACCUGUAAAUGCCACGAAGAGAGAACUAAUCCAGAGUCUGCUCCGGGUUUUGUAAGCAUUCAACCCCCAUCACACACUCCAAAUAUUGAGCUUUCCUGGAAACCAGGCGCAGUGGCAGGUCCUGACACCUGAAAACGCUUCCUUUCAGGCUGCUGCAGCGUUUCAGCCCGACGUGCUGAAUAGAUGCAGCUGUAAUCACCCUGCAGUGAAUGAUGCUUAAAAUUGCACUUCCCAGAAUGCAGAGGGGAGAGUGGAGCUGGUAGCAGGUGACAGUGUUUGAAUGUCAUUUAAAGUUCACUUUCAUUAUUUUAAUUGUCACUGUAAAAAUCUCCCCAUUCAGGCCUGAUUAUGCUCUAAGAGAAAUCAGAACUUAAAUCCUAAUCAAUCAGACCUGGAAGUGUUGUUUCUCUGACACAGGCAGCAGCGUCUGAGCUGUGAUUAGCUGUGGUAGUAGCGAGCCCUGAAAAGCUACCAGGAGACUUAGGAGUGCACAGGAUCAGUGCCGAGUAACGCACUGGCUGAAGUGGUGAGUGAAAAGAAACCCUUCCCUCUCAGAUGGGGCUUCCUGGAGGUGAUCCGUGGCAGCUCUGGGAGAUGGGAUGGCACAGAUGGGAUCUGGUGGCUGUGGGUUCUGCUGCUGUCACCUCAGCUUCUCAAUCACACGGAAAAGGUGCAGGAUGGAGUAUUUUAGGGGCAGUUAUCAGUGUCGGGGGCUUGGGCAUCCCCAGCAUGCACAGACAGGGCUGAGGGGUCUGCAGAGUGUGUGGGCAAAGGGGUUUAUUUGGGGAGCUCCCAGGGAGCGAUAGGCACAGCAAGAUCCUGGUCCUUUAAUGCAAACCAGUAAAGGAAGGGGAAAAAUGAUGCUUCAUAACCUGAGUGAAAAGUGUAACCUUCCAAACAAAGCAAUUUGCAAAAAAAACAGAGCCAGUGGGAUCAGGCAAUAACUUAAUAAGCAUCUCUGAAAAUACAAUGCAUUUAAGAACAUCAGGAUGGGUGUAUUUUUUUUCUAAUAGAGAAACAUCAGCUCUGUGGGGAAAUAAAUGUAAUAAACAAAGUCCAAUCUCCACAAACAUUUGUUUUCUUAUCUCUGUAAAAUCGAUAUACAUGUUGCAAUUAUGUCCUCCUAUGAAUCCCCCAAACUUUUGAUUCUCUCUCAAGGCUUCCUGCUCAAUUGAAGUUCAUUACAUCUCCCUUCCUUCAUCUAGAUAAAUUUGGAGUUCUUUGCAUCUCCAAACCCAAGUCGUGUUUGUUUUUCUUGAGAGGUUUCAUUUCUCUUUUCCUUACAUUGUAGAGGGAGAAGAGUGCUUCCCUCAGCUCUAAUCUAAUCAAAUUAAAUGUAAUUUAAUUGCUGUGCAAGCUUAUAUUUGUUAGG